rnacentral:rRNA from 1 species
GAUGAACGCUGGCGGCGUGCCUAAUACAUGCCAGUCGAGCGAACGGACGAGAAGCUUGCUUUUCUGAUGUUAGCGGCGGACGGGUGAGUAACACGUGGAUAACCUACCUAUAAGACUGGGAUAACUUCGGGAAACCGGAGCUAAUACCGGAUAAUAUUUUGAACCGCAUGGUUCAAAAGUGAAAGACGGUCUUGCUGUCACUUAUAGAUGGAUCCGCGCUGCAUUAGCUAGUUGGUAAGGUAACGGCUUACCAAGGCAACGAUGCAUAGCCGACCUGAGAGGGUGAUCGGCCACACUGGAACUGAGACACGGUCCAGACUCCUACGGGAGGCAGCAGUAGGGAAUCUUCCGCAAUGGGCGAAAGCCUGACGGAGCAACGCCGCGUGAGUGAUGAAGGUCUUCGGAUCGUAAAACUCUGUUAUUAGGGAAGAACAUAUGUGUAAGUAACUGUGCACAUCUUGACGGUACCUAAUCAGAAAGCCGCGGCUAACUACGUG